GGGGAAUCUUGCGCAAUGGGCGAAAGCCUGACGCAGCCAUGCCGCGUGAAUGAUGAAGGUCUUAGGAUUGUAAAAUUCUUUCACCGGGGACGAUAAUGACGGUACCCGGAGAAGAAGCCCCGGCUAACUUCGUGCCAGCAGCCGCGGUAAUACGAAGGGGGCUAGCGUUGCUCGGAAUUACUGGGCGUAAAGGGCGCGUAGGCGGACAGUUUAGUCAGAGGUGAAAGCCCAGGGCUCAACCUUGGAAUUGCCUUUGAUACUGGCUGUCUUGAGUACGGGAGAGGUGAGUGGAACUCCGAGUGUAGAGGUGAAAUUCGUAGAUAUUCGGAAGAACACCAGUGGCGAAGGCGACUCACUGGCCCGUUACUGACGCUGAGGCGCGAAAGCGUGGGGAGCAAACA
rnacentral:rRNA from 1 species